AUACGGAGGAUCCAAGCGUUAUCCGGAUUUAUUGGGUUUAAAGGGUGCGUAGGCGGACUGGUAAGUCAGCUGUGAAAGUUUGCGGCUUAACCGUAAAAUUGCAGUUGAUACUGUCAGUCUUGAGUGUGCAUGAGGUGGGCGGAAUUUGUGGUGUAGCGGUGAAAUGCUUAGAUAUCACGAGGAACUCCAAUUGCGAAGGCAGCUCACUGGGGCAUAACUGACGCUGAUGCACGAAGGUGUGGGUAUCAAACAGGAUUAGAUACCCUGGUAGUCCACACAGUAAACUAUGAAUACUCGCUGUUUGCGAUAUACAGUAAGCGGCCAAGCGAAAGCAUUAAGUAUUCCACCUGGGGAGUACGCCGGCAACGGUGAAACUCAAAGGAAUUGGCGGGG
rnacentral:rRNA from 1 species